UAGUAACGGCGAGUGAAGCGGCAACAGCUCAAAUUUGAAAUCUGGCUUCGGCCCGAGUUGUAAUUUGCAGAGGAUGUUUAUGGUGCGGUACCUUCCGAGUUCCCUGGAACGGGACGCCACAGAGGGUGAGAGCCCCGUCUGGUUGGAUACCAAACCUGUGUUAAACUCCUUCAACGAGUCGAGUAGUUUGGGAAUGCUGCUCUAAAUGGGAGGUAAAUCUCUUCUAAAGCUAAAUACCGGCCAGAGACCGAUAGCGCACAAGUAGAGUGAUCGAAAGAUGAAAAGCACCUUGAAAAGGGGGUUAAACAGUACGUGAAAUUGUUAAAAGGGAAGCGUUUAUGACCAGACUUGUGUCGUGUGGCUCAUCCGAGGUUCUCCCCGGUGCACUCCACACGGCUCAGGCCAACAUCGGUUCUCGUUGGGGGAUAAGAACAGUAGGAACGUGGCCCUCUUCGGAGGGUGUUAUAGCCUGCUGUACGAUACCCUGAUGGGGACCGAGGACCGCGCUUCGGCUAGGAUGUUGGCGUAAUGGUCAUUAGCGACCCGUCUUGAAACACGGACCAAGGAGUCGUCCAUUAGAGCGAGCGUUUGGGUGUAAAACCCGCACGCGUAAUGAAAGUGAAAUUAGGUGAGAGCUUCGGCGCAUCAUCGACCGAUCCUGAAGUUUACGGAUGGAUUUGAGUAAGAGUUUUAACGGACGGACCCGAAAGACAGUGAACUAUGCUUGAAUAGGGUGAAGCCAGAGGAAACUCUGGUGGAGGCUCGCAGCGGUUCUGACGUGCAAAUCGAUCGUCAAAUUUGAGCAUGGGGGCGAAAGACUAAUCGAACUGUCUAGUAGCU
rnacentral:rRNA from 1 species